ACUGGGUUGCCCUAGUAACGGCGAGUGAAGCGGCAAUAGCUCAAAUUUGAAAUCUGGGUCCUUUUAGGGCUCCGAGUUGUAAUUUGCAGAGGGUGCUUUGGCGUAGGUAGCGGUCUAAGUUCCUUGGAACAGGACAUCGCAGAGGGUGAGAAUCCCGUUUGUGGUCGCAUGCCUUCGCCGUGUAAAGCCCCUUCGACGAGUCGAGUUGUUUGGGAAUGCAGCUCUAAAUGGGAGGUAAAUUUCUUCUAAAGCUAAAUACUGGCCAGAGACCGAUAGCGCACAAGUAGAGUGAUCGAAAGAUGAAAAGCACUUUGGAAAGAGAGUCAAACAGCACGUGAAAUUGUUGAAAGGGAAGCGCUUGCAGCCAGACUUGCCCGUAGUUGCUCACCUAGGCUUUUGCCUGGGGCAUUCUUCUGCGGGCAGGCCAGCAUCAGUUUGGGCGGUCGGAUAAAGGUCUCUGUCAUGUAGCUUCCUUCGGGAAGAACUUAUAGGGGAGGCGAAAUGCGACCAGCCCGGACUGAGGUCCGCGCUUCGGCUAGGAUGCUGGCGUAAUGGCUGUAAGCGGCCCGUCUUGAAACACGGACCAAGGAGUCUAACAUCUAUGCGAGUGUUUGGGUGUCAAGCCCGAGCGCGUAAUGAAAGUGAACGGAGGUGGGAACCCUUUGGGUGCACCAUCGACCGAUCCUGAUGUCUUCGGAUGGAUUUGAGUAAGAGCAUAGCUGUUGGGACCCGAAAGAUGGUGAACUAUGCUUGAAUAGGGUGAAGCCAGAGGAAACUCUGGUGGAGGCUCGCAGCGGUUCUGACGUGCAAAUCGAUCGUCAAAUUUGGGCAUAGGGGCGAAAGACUAAUCGA
rnacentral:rRNA from 1 species